AUAAAUAUGUGGGGGUGUAUAAACAUACACACAGAGUGUAUCCUCUCAUUCUGAGGAGGUGAAGUUGCUCCUUAGAUAACUGAAGGAAGUGAAUGAAUAAACGUUGUGUAGAGGGUGUGUGAGGUCAGGACACAAUAAACUGACCUCAGACGGCCUGCUGAGUUGGGCCAUUGUCCUCAACACACACUCAUACACACACACACCCUCCCCACUCGUCUGGCACGAUGACAACUCGAUUGCCUGAUCCCACAUUACAACAGUCAACAUUAAUGUGAAGAAGAGGAGCCCGAGAAGAUGAAGAGUGUUUGUGUGAAUGCUUCAGCUCCUCUGAGUCUCAUUGGCUCGUUCUCUUUCCAAAGCUUCUGGGUUGAACUGGCAUCACUUACACUUUAUAUAUUUUAAAUAUUGUUUUUCUUUUAUGGAACUGAAGCAAAUUAUCAAUUUCCUUCAGGCUUUGGAAACAUCUGUGGAGUCAAACAUCAUGUGGGUGAUGAAGACGCUGGGCGGGGCGAGAGAGUUCACAACCACACACUGAAGGACUCCACUGUGUGCGUACCUCCACAUAUCUGACCCUCACAGACUCUACAUGUGAGAUAAAUAUGCAGAUUUCAUGCAUUAUUUAUGUUAUCAACAUUGGAUGUGUUGUGUUUAACAUGUAUGAUGAGGAAGAAGAGCAAAUAUAGGAUUGACCAAAGAUUCCAGUCAUAAAACUCACUUAUUCUGCACAUAUAAAGACUUCUUUGGUUUAACUAGUGGGUGCUAAAACAUAAAUAAAGAAGGAAAAAGUACGGGAGGGAGCUUUUUAAUGUUUGUAUCAGAAUGUUCGGCUUGUGAAAAAAGUGUCCUACAGUUAUUUUUGGUCAAUAUGGAGCAGUUUGUGUUCACGUUUCUCCUAUUGGAGGACCUUUCCCAAAAGGGGGCGGGGCAGUGCUUCUCCCAUUGGAGGACCUUUCCCAAAAGGGGACUCUGAGUUAUGAAACACUUCUUCUUCUAUAAAGAUGUUAUUGAUGUCAAACUAACUGAACCUCUGUUUCUUUUCUUCUUCUUUUCUUCCAGUCUGGCGACUGAGCCGAAGAUCAGAUUUAGCUAAUUCAGAAAAAACGGAUUUAUUGAAACUUGACGGACGGUGUAGAUCGGGAUAUCGAUAUAAAGGUGCUUUAGCAUUUCUAUUCACUUUUCUUGAAGUCAAGCAGUAGUUUGAAUGAUUUUUCUUUAUGUUUGCUGCCUUAAAUAAGGUCUGUGGUUUAAGACUGAUGAGAUUUUAACGUCCAUCACAUAAAACAUGUCAAAAUACCCCCCAGGUGAAUUGUGAAGCUUUUACAUGUCUUAAGAGGUUAAAUGAGUCAGAAGGGGGCGGGGCAGUGCUUCUCCUAUUGGAGGACCUUUCUCAAAAGGGGGCGGGGCAGUGUCGAAACCCACGUGACCCAAAAACUGUAAAGCGAGCCCUUGGUGUCUCAAGUCUGAACCCUCUCUGGAACCGCCCUUGCAAAGAUGCACCGCGUUGUUCUUGUAAACCAAUCAGAGCAGACUGGGCUCCGGGAGGGAGGGGCCUUAAAGAGACAGGCGCUGAAACGGAAGAUGAAGGUACGUAUAUAUUCAGACGGAGAGGACAAGAAGAGUUUUUUCAUUUACUUUAAUGGUAAAAAACUCAAAAUCUUUCUUGUGCUGUCUGUCUAGAAUGUAUUAGAAACCCAAAAAUCAAGCAUUGACCAGGAAAUGAGCAUGAUGUGUCCCUUUUAAAGCAAAAGCUGUAUACGUGGUGAGGGUGUCAGGGUGUACAUGCCAGCUAACUUAUUGUAUUCAAUCUAUAAUAGUUGAGCAGCUUGGAACUAUGUGGGUGAGGGGGGUCUUAGAUACUUAAAUAUCUAACCCCCCCCCCCCCCACACACACACACACACACCUCAGUCCCUUGACCGCUGGCCUGGGCGGUCGGCUUUGAGCAUCGGUUCACUUCGGGUGAAGCUAUUUCAACUGUUCAAAGACUCUUUUUGCACGGCCUCCCUUGUGGCUGCUGCAGAACGGCCUCCCGCUCUAUUUUCGGGGAUUUAAAGGAGAAAUAGAUAUGUUUCGCUCGACUCUCCAGAAAAUGCGCUGCGCGGGACUGAGGAUGACUCCAUCCCCAGUUCUGCAUUAUAUAAGAACUAAAAAGUGAAGAUGAAAAAGGUGAACCAUAAAAGGAAUCCUCCCAUGAGACCCAUGAGACUCUGUGCUGGGGGGGGGGGGGGGGGGGGCUGUGCUUGGAACCAAUUACUCAAUAUUUUUGCUUAUGAAAAUCGUAAAUAAAUGAAGAUUACUUGCGAUCAAAAUUAGAAGAGGACAACAACAAAAAACCAGGCAUAUUUCCUGUAACAGGACCCUGUGUUACUGUAAACGGUGUUUCCUUAGACAAGCCAAUCAAGAGCCCAAAUUAGAGCCCCGUUCUAUUUUAAUUGGAGGCGUCUGUGAAUGUUUCAUGAUCGUGUUUUAAUAUUUAGACAUAAAUUCUUUCGCAGAGCCGCCGGACUUUCCUGCAGGUCAUUAGGCCUCUGCUUCGCUCCACGGGGAUUUGGAGAAGGAGAUACGUCUGGCGACUGAGCCGAAGAUCAGAUUUAGCUGAUUCUGAAAAAACGGAUUUAUGGAAACUUGACGGACGGUGUAGAUCGGGAUAUCGAUAUAAAGUUGCUUUAGCAUUUCUAUUCAAUUUUCUUGAAGUCAAGCAGUAGUUUGAAUGAUUUUUCUUUAUGUUUGCUGCCUUAAAUAAGGUCUGUGGUUUAAGAUGAGAUUUUAACGUCCAUCACAUAAAACAUGUCAAAAUACCCCCCGGGUGAAUUGUGAAGCUUUUACAUGUCUUAUAGGUGAAAUGAGUCAGAACACCAAACACUACUCCUCCGCCUUUAGCUUCGUGGUGGUGACAUGAAGCCAUGGGACCACGGUUUUGUUCUUUUACAGCCUAAAAUUGAUUAUCAUCAACUUGUGUUCGUCGCGGAGUUUAUUUGCCACAAUAAUCCAAAAUCCAAUAAAAAAAUGCCAAUGACACACAGGGUCGGCCUCAAAAAAUGCGUUGCCCGCUGGAGGCCUCUAUUGCCUCAACACGGCUCUCAGCUAGCAGCUGACGGAGCUAGCAGCUGAUGGAGCUAGUCGCUAAUAUAGCUAGCAGCUAACGGAGCUGGCAGCUAAUGGAGCAAGUAGCUGACGGAGCUAACCGCUAAUAUAGCUAGCUGCUAACGGAGUUAGCAGCUAACGGAGUUAGCAGCCAACAGAGCUUGCAGCGCUAACAGUGCAAAUAACAGCAACAGUACCGACGGAGCUAACCGUUUUGACCUAAGGAAGAACGGGGUGGGCGGGGCACUGAUAUCAAAUACGUAGAUACAGUUAUUAAACUGUUAAACUGUCCAAAGCACACCCUGUCCAAACUCUUCCCUUUGGUAUUCAUCAAAUUGUGAAUUAACCAAUUCCUCAGGAACAUUAUGCAACAUUGUGAAAUAAUGGUCCUGCCAUGUACCGUUGGUGAACUCUGCUCCUGGCAGCAGGAAGUACGAGGUCAUAAAGCGCUCGGCAGUUUCCAUGGCUGACUCAACAUUUGCGCAGCGCGACUCUCGUGACCUUCAGUCCAGGAAGUGGUAAUCCUAAUAAAAGCUUAAUUAACUGA